CCUGCUUCCAUGCUAAACAAUUCAUGCUGAGUGUGGAUCAACAGAUUGGAAACAACAACAUCUCCUGUUUUAUUUCUGCCCUCUGCAUGAUGUUUGGGAGCUAUUAUUGUUUUAACAUACAUUAUCCAUCGGGGCUGGCGUCUACACUGGAGUUUCUGCAGAGGUGUUUCUUCUCAAUCAACCCAGACAAGGGCAGUAAGGUGGAAGAAACCCGUAAACCCAGACUGCGUGUGAACCCCGUGUACUCACCUUGAUCCAGGAACUUUCGGAUCAUGAGUGGCGUGAUGUUUGAGAAAGGACUAAAGUCAGUGAGUUAUCAAGACAGUGUUUAAUCUUAACAGAGCUGAAUAGAUUUGUAAAUGUAUGUUGCAUCUCACACCUU